UACGAAGGGGGCUAGCGUUGUUCGGAUUUACUGGGCGUAAAGCGCACGUAGGCGGAUCGUUAAGUCAGGGGUGAAAUCCUGGAGCUCAACUCCAGAACUGCCUUUGAUACUGAGGAUCUUGAGUCCGGGAGAGGUGAGUGGAACUGCGAGUGUAGAGGUGAAAUUCGUAGAUAUUCGCAAGAACACCAGUGGCGAAGGCGGCUCACUGGCCCGGUACUGACGCUGAGGUGCGAAAGCGUGGGGAGCAAACAGGG
rnacentral:rRNA from 1 species